rnacentral:tRNA from 1 species
GGGGCUGUGGCGCAGCUGGUAGCGCACCUGCAUGGCAUGCAGGGGGUCGAGGGUUCGAGUCCCUUCAGCUCCA